UGGUACCAUUAUCCUUGAUUUGUGUC
rnacentral:piRNA from 1 species